rnacentral:ncRNA from 1 species
AUAAAUGCAUUGAAAAAGUAAAGUAGCAUUUUGGAAAAUCACAGAGAGGAAAAUGAUGGUGAGAGUUUUCUAUUUAGAAGAAAUGUGAAGUGCACUUUGGAGCAGAAAUCCGAAAUUUUUAGUAGGGUUCUCCGGGAUCACCCGUUAUAGUGAUUAGGCAUGUUAGUGCUAAAUUUUGAGUGCAGGUAUAUCUUUUAUAUCUGAAUUAGAGUGGAACCGCGAGUUACCUCGUCUCUAUA